rnacentral:lncRNA from 1 species
AAACCAUAAGCCUUUCUUUUCUUGUGGCAGUUGAAAACACUCCUUUUGUGGAAUCUACGAAGGAACAUGUCAGAGCACACAGAAGCCUAUCCUGAAAUACUGAAUAUACUGUGAUAUAAAGUAGAUAAAAUCUAUCUGUGAAACUGUUUUGUGAUGUGUGGAUUCAGCUAACUAAGUGCAACCUUCCUUUUGAUUCAGCAGUUUGGAAACACUCUUGUUGCAUUUUCAGUGAAGGUACAUUUCAGAGCUCACUGACGCCUACAGUGAAAAAGAGAAUAUACCACAGUGAAAACUUGAUAGAAGCUAUCUGUGAAACUGCUUUUUAAUGUGUGCAUUCAGCUCACAGAGAUAAAACUUUAUUUUGAUUAAGGAGGUUGGAAAAACUUUUUGUAGACUCUGCAAGGAGACUUUUCAGAGCAAACUGAGGCCUAUAGUGAAAAACAGAAUAUCCCAUGAUAAAAACUAGAAAGAAGCUACCUGUUAAACUGCUUUGUGAUUUGUGAAUUCAGCUCACAGAGUUAAAUCUUUCUUUUGAUUAAGCAGGUUGGAAAAACUCUUUUUGUAGAAUCUGUGAGGGAACAUUUUGGAGCCCACUUAGACAUAUAGUAAAAAUCAAAUAUCCCAUGAUAAAAACUAGAAAGAGGCUAUCUGUGAAACUGACUUGGGAUGUGUGCAUUCAGUUCUCAGAGUUAAAUCUUUCCUUUUCUGUAGCAGGUUAGAAACACUCUCAUUGUAGGAUCUGCAAAGGGACAUUUCAAAGCCCACUGAGGCUUAUUGUGAAAAACUGAAUAUCACCAAUCAAAACUAGAAAGAAUCUAUCUGUGAAUCUGUUCUGUGAUGUGUGGAUUUAUCUCACAAAUUUAAACCUUUUUUUUAUUUCACAAGUUAGAAACACCCUUUCUGUAGAAUCUCUGAAUGGACAUUUCAGAGCCCAUUGAGGCCUGCACUGAAAAAUUGAAUAUCUUGUAAUAAAAAAUUAGAAAGAAGCUAUCUGUGAAACUGCUUUGUGAUCAGUGAAUUCAGCUCAAAGAUUUAAACCUUUCCUUUGAUUCAGUAGGUUGGAAACACUCUUUUUACAGAAUAUGUGAAGGUACAUUUCAGAGCCCAAUGUGGCCGAGAUUAAAAAACAAAACACACUGAGAUAAAAAGGAGUAAAGAGCUGUCUGUGAAACUGCUUUGUGAUGUCAGCAUUCAGCUCAAAGCGUUAAAUAUUUCUAUUGAUUCAGAAGAUAAAAACACUCUUUUUGUGCAAUCUGUGAUGGGACAUUUUGGAGCCCACUGAUUGCUAUAGUGAAAAACUGAGUAUCCUACAAUAAAAACUAAAAAUAAGAUAUGUAUGAAACUCUUUUGUGAUGUAUGGAUUCAGGACACAGAGCUACACCUCUCUUUUGAUUCAGCUGGUUAGAAACACUCUUUUUGUAGAAUCAGCAGUGGGACAUCUUGGAACCACUGAGGCCUAUAGUUAAAAGUGAAUAUCCCUUGAUAAAAACUAGAAAGAAGCUAUCUGGAAAACUGCUUUGUGAUGUGUGGAUUCAGCUCAAAAAGUUAAAACUUUAUUUUGACUCUGCAUGUUGGAAGCACCCUUUUUGUACUAUCUGCACGGGGACACUUCAGAGCCAACUGAGGUGUAGAGUGAAAAACCAAAUAUCCUGUGAUAAAAACUUGAAAGAAGCUAUCUGUGAUACUGGAUGUGAUGUUUGGACUCAGAUCACAGAUUUUAACCUUUCUUUUCAUUCAGCAGUUUGAAAACACUCUUUUUGUAGGAUUAGCAAAGGGAUAUUUCAAAGCCCACUGAGACCUCUUGUGAAAAAUCAAAUAUACCCUGAUGAAAAACAGAAAAUGCUUUGUGAUGUGUGGAUUCAUCUAACAAAGUUAAAACUUUCUUUUUAUUCAACAGGUUGGAAACACUCUUUCUUUAGAAUCUGUGAGGGGAUAUUUAGAAACCCACUGGAACCUCUAGAGAAGAACUAAAUAUCUCACAAUAAAAACUAGAGGGUGUAUCUGAGAAACUGCUUUGUGAUGUGUGGAUUCAGAUCACAAAAUUAAACCUUUCUUUUCAUUCAACAGUUUGGAAACACUCUUUUUGUAGAAUCUGCUAAGAAAUAUUUUGGAGCCCACUGAUCCCUAAAGUGAAAAACCGUAUAUCCCAAAAUAAAAACUAGACAGUAGCUAUCAGUGAAACAGCUUUGUGAUGUGUAGAUUUAGUUCUCAGACUUAAGCCUUUUUUUUUUUGCAGAAAUUUGGAAACAUCUUUUUAUAGAAUCUGUGAAGAAAUAUUUUGGAGCCCACUGAAGCCUAUAGUGAAAACUCAUAUAUCCCCAUGAUAAAAACUAGAGAGAAGCUAUCUGAAACUCUUUUGUUACAAAUGGAUUCAGCUUACAGAGUUUAACUUUUCUUUUGUUUUUUUUUUUUUGUUUCAUUAGGUUGUAACACUUUUUUGUACAAAUCUACGAGCCCACUAAACCUUAUAAUGAAAAACUGAAUUUCCCAUGAUAAAAAUUAGAAAGAAGCUAUCUGUGAAACUGCUUUCUUUUUGACGUGUGGAUUUGGCUUACAAAGUUAAACAUUUCUUUUGAUUCCAAAGAAUGGAAACAUGCUUUUUGUAGAAUCUGCGAAGGGACAUUUCAGAACCACUGAGGCCUGUAGUGAAAAACCAAAUAUCCCAUGACAAAAACUAGAAAGAAUUUAUCUGUGAAACUGCUUUGUGAUGUGUGCAUUCAGGUCAAAGAGUAAAAACUUUCUUUUGAUUCAGCAAGUUGGAGAAACCCUUUUUGUAGAAUCUGAUGGAAUAUUCAGAGCGAACCAAUGCCUAUAGUGAAAACCCGAAAAUCCCACAAUAAAAACUAAAAAGAAGCUAUCUGUGAAGCUGCUUUGUGUUGUGUGGGUUCCUGUCAGAGUUAAACCUUUCUUUUCAUUCAGCAGGUUUGAAACACUCUUUUUUUUAGAAUCUGUGAGGAAAUAUUCCAAACCCAUUGAGGCCUAUGGUGAAAAAAUGAAAAUUUGGGGUUAAAAAUUAGAAAAAAGCUAUCUGUGAAAAUACUUUGGGAUGUGUGCACUCAGCUCACAAAGUUAAACUUUUCUUUUGAUUCAGCAGGUGGGAAGCACUGUUUUUUUAGAAUCUACAAUGGGACAUUUCAAAGCCCACGUAGGCCUAUAGUGAAAAACCUAAAAUCCCACAACAGAAACUGGUAAGAAGAUAUCCUGAAACUGCUUUGUGAUCUGUAAAUUCAGCUCACAGCAUUAAACUUUUCUUAUAAUUCAGAAGGUUUGAAACACUUCUUUUGUAGAAUCUGUGAAGGGACAUUUCAAAGCCCACUAGGGCCUUAUAGGCCUGUGAAACUGCAUUGUAAUGUGUGGAUUCAGCUCCUGGAGUGGAACUUUUUUUUGAUUCAGCAGGUUCUAAACACUCUUUUUGUAGAAACUAUGAGGUGAAAAUUUGGAACCCACUAGAACCUACAGUGAAAAACUGAAUUUCCCGUGAUAAAAAUUAGAAAGAAAUGAUCUGUGAGACGACUUUGUGAUGUGUGGAUUCAUCUCAAAGAGUUAAACCUUUCUUUUGAUUCAGCAGGUUGGAAACACUCAUCUUGUAGAAUCAGCGAAGGGGUGUUUCAAAGCCCACAAAGGCCUACAGUGAAAAGCUGAAUAUCCUGUGAUAAAAACAAGAAAGAAGCUAUCUGUGAAACUACUUUGUGAUGUGUGGAUUUAACUAAUAGAGAUAAACCAUUCUUUUAAUUCACGAGGUGGGAAACACUCUUUUUGUAGAUCCGCGAAGGGACAUUUCAAAACCCAAUGAAGCCUAUAGUGAGAUACCAAGUAUCCCACAAUGAAAACUAGAAAUAUAAACUAGAAAAAUACUGUCUUUGCAACUAUUUUGUGAUAUGUGGAUUCAGUUCAAACAGUUAAAUCUUUUGAUUAAGCACUUUGGAAACACUCUUUUUGCAGACUAUGGCAAGGGAUACUUCAGAGCCCACUGAGGCCUAGAGUAAAAAACAGAAUAUCACGCAAUAAAAACAAGAAAAAUGCUAUUUGUGAAACUGCUUUGUGAUGUGUGGAUGAAGCUGACAGAGUUAAACCUUUAUUUUGAUUCAGCAGGUUGAAAAUACUAUUUUGUAGAACAUGGGAAGUCUCUUUUCUGAGCCUAGUGAGGUCUAUAGUGGAAAACUGAAUAUCAGGUGGUAAAAACUAGAAUGAUCCUAUCUGUGAAACUCCUUUGUGGUGUGUGAAUUCAGAUAAAAGAGUUAAACUUUUCUUUUGAUUCAGCACAUUGGAAACACUCAUUUUGAAGCAACUGCCAAAAAACACUUUGGAGCAUACUGCAGCCUAUAGUGUAAGACAGAAUAUCCUAUGAUAUAUACUAGAAAAAAAGUUGUCUGUGAAACUGCUUUGUGAAGUGUGGAUUCAUCUCAAAGAGUUAAACCUUUCUUUUGUUUCAGGAGUUUGGAGACACUCUUCUUGUAGAGUCUGCGAGAAGACAUUUUGGAAUUCACUGAGGGCUAUAGUAAAAGAUCAAAUAUCCUCAAGAAAAACUAGAAACUAUCUGUGAAACUGCCUUGUGAUGUGUGCUUUCAUCCCAGGGAGUUAAACUUUUCUUUUGAUUCAGCAGAUUGGAAACACUCUUUUUGUUGAAUCUGUGAAGGGACAUUUCAUAGCCCGUGGAGGCCUACAGUGAAAAACCAAUUAUCCCAUGAUAACAACUAGAAAGAAGUUAUCUGUCAAACUGCUUUGUGAUAUGUGAAUUCACCACAAAGAGUUAAAUCUUUCUUUUGUUGCAGCACGUUGGAAACACUUUUUCUGUAGAAUCUGCGAAGGGAUAAUUCAGAGCCAACAGAUGUGUAGAGUGAAAAACUGAAUAUCCUACAAUAAAAACUAGAAAUAAGCUAUCUGUGAUACAGCUAUUUGAUGCGUGGGUUCAGCUCACAGAGUUAAACCUUUCUUUUGAUUCAACAGGUUAUAAACAGUCUUUUGUAAAACCUGCAAAGGGACAUUGUAGAACCCACUGAGGGCUAUGUAAAAAAAAAAGAAUGUCUCACUAUAAAAACUAGAAAUAAGCUGUCUGUUAUACUGCUUUGUGAUGUGUGCAUUCAGCUCACAGAAUUGAACCUUUAUUUUCAGGCAGCAUGGUGGAAACUCUGUUUUUGUAGAAUCUGCAAAGGGAUAGUUUGGAGCCCACUGAGGCCUAUAGUGAAAAACUGAACAUCCAGUGAUAAAAACUAGAAAGAGGCUAUCUGUGAAGCUGCUUUGCAAUGUGUGCAGUCAACUCACAGAGAUAAAUUUUUGUUUUGAUUCAGCAGGUUGGAAAUUCUCUUUUGUAGAAUCUGUGAAGAGACAUUUUAGAGGUCACUUAGGUCUAUAGUGGAAAACAAAAUAUCUCAUGAUAAGAACAAGAAAGAAGCUAUCUGUGAAACUGCUUUGUGAGGUGUGCAUUCAGCUCACAAAGUUAAAGCUUUCUUUUGAUUCAACAGGUUGGAAACACUGUUUUUGUAGAAUUUGCAAAUGGGCAUUUCGGAGCCCACUGAGGUCUACAGUGAAAAACAGGAUAUCCCAUGGUAAAAAUUAGAAAGAAGCUGUCUGUGAAACUGCUUUGUGAUGUGUGCAUUCACUCACAGAGUUAAAUCUUUCUUUUGAUUCAGCAAGUUGGAAACACUCUUUUUGUAGAAUCUGUAGAGAAAUAUUUCAGAGCCCACUGCAGAGUAUAGUGAAAAAUUGAAUAUUUUGCAAUAAAAACUAGAAAGAAGCUAUCUGUGAAACUGAUUUGUGAUGGGUGGAUUCAGCUCACAAAGUUAACUGUUUCUUUUGCUUUAGCAGUUUGGAAACUGUUUUUGUAGAAUCUGCACAGGGACAUUUUGGAGUCUACAAAGGCCUUACAUGAAAAACUAAAUAUUUUGCGAUCAAAACGAUGAAGAAGCUAUCUGUGAAUUGUUUUGUUAUGUAUGGAUUCAGCUCACAGAGUAAAACCUUUCUAUUAAUUCAUCUGGUUGGAAAACUCCUUUUGGAGAAUCUGAGAAAAGACAUUUUGCAGCCCACUGAGGUCUAUAGUGAAAAACUGAAAAUCCUGCAGUAAAAACUGUAAAGAAGCUGUCUGUUAAACUGUUUUGUGAUGUUUGCAUUCAGCUCACAGAGUUUACCUUUCUUUUCAACCAGUAGGUUGGAAACACUCUUUUGAUAUUAUCUGUGAAGGGACAUUUGGAGCCUUCUGAGGCCUAUAGUGAGAAACAGAAUAUCCCAAAAUAAAAACCAGAAAGAAUUUAUCUAUGAAACUAUUUUGUGAUGAGUGCACUCAGCUCACAAGCUCACAGAAUUGUAACUUUCUUUUGAUUCAACAGAUUGGAAAUGCUCUUUUUGAGGAAUCUAGGAACAGAUAUUUUGGAGCCCACUGACGCCUAUAGUGAAAAAGUGAAUAUCCCAUAAUAAAAAUUAGAAAGAAGCUGUCUGUGAAACUACUUUGUGAUGUGUGCAUUCAGCUCACAGAGUUAAACUUUUUUUUUUUUUAUUCAGCAGGUUGGAAACAGUCUCUUUGUAGAAUAUGCAAAGGGACAUUUCAAAGCCCCCUGAGGUGAAUGGAGAAAAACCAAAUAUCUUGUGAUAAAAACUAGAAAGAAGCUAUCCAUAAAGCUGCUUUCUGAUGUGUAGAUUUAGUUCACAGAGUUAAAUCUUUAUUUGAUUCAGCAGUUUGGAAACACUCUUUUUGUAGAAUCUGCAAAGGGAAGUUUUGGAGCCUUCUGAGGCCUAUAAUAAAAAAACAAAAUAUCCCAUAAUAAAAAUUACUAAGAUACUAUCUGUUAAACUGCUUUCUGAUGUGUGGAUUAAACUCACAGAGUUAAAACUCUCUUGUGAUUCAGCAGGUUGGAAACACUGUUUUUGUAAAACCUGUGAAGGGACAUAUCGGAGCCCACUGAGGCCCAUACUGAGAAACAAAAUAUCCCACUACAAAAACAAAAAAAGCUAACUGUGAAACCACUUUGUGAUGUGUGCAUUUAGUUCACAGAGUUAAACCUUUCUUUUGCUUCAGCAGGUUGAAAACACUUUUUUUUGUAUAAUCUAUGAAGGGACAUUUCAGAGCCGAAUAGGCCCAUAGUGAAAAACCGAAUAUCCUGUUAUUAAAAAAACUAGAAAUAAACUAUUUCUGAAACCACAUUGUGAUGUGUGCAUCCAGCUCACAGAGUUAAACCUUUGUCUUGAUUAAGCAGGUUGGAAACACUUUUUUUGUAGAAUCUGCGAAGGGACAUUUCAAAGCCCACAGACACCUAGUUUGAAAAGCAGAAAUUCCCACAAAAUAAACUAGAAAUAAACUAUCUGUGAAAAUGCUUUGUGAUGUGUGGAUUCAGCUCACAAAGUUAACCCUUUCUUUUAAUUUAGCAGGUUGGAAACACUUUUGUUGUAGAAUCUGUGAAUAGACAUUUUGGAAUCUACUGAGGCAUAACCUGAAAAACUGAAUAUUUCACAAUCAAAACUAGAAAAAAAAACUAUCUGUGAAGUUGUUUUGUGAUGUAUGGAUUCAGCUCAUAGAGGUUGGGAACACUCUUUUUCUGGAAUCUGCAAGAAGACAUUUUGAAGGAAACUGAGGCCUAUAGUGAAAAACUGAAUAUUCUACAAUAAAUACUAGAAAGAAGCUAUCUGUGAAACUUCUUUGUGAUGUGUUGAUUCAACUCAUAGAGUUAAACCUUUCUUUGGAUUCAGCAGGUUGGAAUCACUCUUUUUGUAGAAUUUGUGAAGGGACAUUUUUGAGCCCAUUGAGGCCUCUAAUGAAAAACGAAAUAUCCCCAGCUAAAAACUAAAAAGAAGAUAUCAGUGAAACUGUGCUGUGGUUUGUGGAUUCAGCUCACAGAGUUACACCUUUCAUUUUAUUCAGCAAAUUGGAAACACUCUUCUUGUAGAAUCUGUGAAGGGAAAUUUGAGGCCCACUGGAGCCUACAGUGAAAAACAAAAUAUGCCUUGAUGAAAAAUAAACAGGAGCUAUAAGUGAAACUGCUUUGUGAUGAGUGGAUUCAGCUCAACGAUUUAAAUGACAUUUUUGAUUCAACAGCUUGAAGACACUCUUUUAAUAGGUUCAGUGGAGGGAUAUUACUGAACACACAGAGACCUAUAAUGAAAAACUGAUUGUUCUGCAAUGAAAACUAGAAAGAAGUUAUCUGUGAAAGUGCUAUAUAAUGUGUGGAUUCAGCUCACACAGUUAAACUUUCUUUUGAUUCUGUAGGUUGGAAACACUCAUUUUGUAGAAUCUGUGAAGGGAUACUUUGGAGCAAACUGAUGCCUAUAGUAAAAAACCGAAUAUCCCAUGUUAAAAACUACAAGAACCUAUCUGUGAAACUGCUAUGUGAUGAGUGUAUUGAGUUAACAGAGUUAGACCUUUCCUUUGAUUUAGCAGGUUUGGAACACUCUUUUUGUAGAAUCUUCCCGAGGAUAUUUCGGAGCCCACUGAAAACCAUAGUGAAAAAACAAAUAUACAGUGAUGAAAACUAGAAAGAAGCUGUCUGUGAAACUGCUUUGUGAUGUGCAGAUUCAGCUCACAGAGUUAAAACUUUCUUUUUAUUCAGCAGUUUGGAGACCCUUUUUUUCUAGGAACUGUGAGGGGACAUAUCAGAGCUUACUGAGGCCUAUAGUGAAAACCCAAAUAAUCCACAAUAAAAACUAAAAGGAAGCUGUCUGUGAAACUGUUUUGUGUUGUGUGGAUUAAGCUUAGAGAAUUAAACCUUUCUUUUGAUUCAGCAGGUUGGAAACACUCUUUUUGUCGAAUCUGUGAAGGGACUUUUGGUGGCCAAUGAGGCCUAUAGGGAAAACAAAAUAUCCAUCAAUAAAAUCUACAAAGAAGAAAUCUGUGAAACUCCUUUGUGAUGUGUGGAUUCAGCUCACAAAGUUAAACCUUUAUUUAGGUUCAUUAAGUUGCAAACACUCUUUUUGUAGAAUCUGUAAGGGUACAUUUCAGAUCACACUGAGAACUGUAGUGAAAAACUGAAUAUUCCUCAGUAAAAACUAGAUAGAAGCUAUCUGUGAAACUUCAUUGUAAGGUGUGCAUUCAACUCACAGAGUUCAAACUUUCCUUUGAUUCAGCGUGUUGGAAACACUCUUUUUGUAAAGUCUUCAAAAAGAUAUUUGAAGCAAACUGAGGCCUAUAGUAAAAGCUGAAUAUCUUGCCAUAAAAACUAGAAGAAAUCUAUCUGUGAAACUUCUUUGGGAUGUGAGCAUUCAGCUCACAGGAUUAAACCAUUCUUUUGAUUCAGCAGGUUGGAAACACUCUUUUUGCAGAAUCUGUGAAGGGAUAUUUCCAAGUCCAUGGAGACAUAUAGUGAAAAACUGAAUGUCCCAUGAUGAAAACUAGAAGGAAGCUCUCUGUGAAACUGCUUUGUGAUGUCUGACUUUCCUCAGAGAGUUAAAACUUUCUUUUAAUUCAGCAGGUUGGAAACAACCCUUUUUGUAAGAUCUUCAAAAUGACAUUUGAAACCCGAUGAGGCCUAUAGUGAAAAACUGAACAUUUCGUUAUUAAAAAAAAAAAAAAAAAAAAAAAACUAGAAAGAACCUAAGGUGAAGGGACAUUUCAAAGUACAGAGAUACCUAUAGUGAAAACCCGAAUAUUCUGUGAUAAAAAUUAGAAAGAAGUUACCUGUGAAAGUGCCAUGUGAUGUGUUGAUUCGACUCACAGGGUUAAACCUUUCUUUUGAUUCCAUAUGUUGGAAAAACUCAUUUUGUAAAAUCUGUGAAGGGAUAUUUAGGAGCAAACUGAGGCCUAUAGUGAAAAACGAAAUAUCUCAUGAUAAAAACUACUAAGAAGCUAUGUGUGACACAGCUUUGUGAUAUGUGCAUUCACCUCACAGAGCUAAACCUUUCUUUUGAUUCACCAUUUGGAAACACUCUUUCUGUAGGAAAUGCGAGGGGACAUAUCCGAGGCCACUGAGGCCUAUAGUAAAAACUCAAAUAUUCUGCAAUAAAAACUAGAAAGAAGCUAUCUGUGAAACUGCUUUGUGAUGUGUGGAUUCAGCUCACAGAGUUAAACCUUUCUUUUGAUUCAGCAAAUUUGAAACACUCCUUUUAAAGAAUCCACAAAGAGACAUUUUGGAGCCCAAUGAGGUCUAUGGUGAAAAACUGAAUUUCUGCCGAUUAAAACUAGAAAGAAGCAAUCUGUGAAACUGUUUUGCGAUGUGUGGAUUCAGCUCACAGAGCAAAACUUUUCUUUUGAUUCAGCAGGUUGGAAACCCUCUUUUUGUACAAUCUGUGAAAAGGCAUUUCACAGCCCACUGAGACCUAUAGUGAAAAACUGAAUAUCCCGUGAUAAAAACUAGAAAGAUGCUAUCUGUGAAACUCCUUUGUGAUGUCUGGAUUUUGCUCACAGAGUUAAAACAUUCUUUCAUUCAGCAGGUUGAAAACACUCUUUUUGUAGGAUAUGCAAAAAAAAAUUUCAAAGCCCACAGGGGCUGACAGUAAAAAAAAAAAAAAAAGGAAAAGAAAAUCCUAACAUUUUGUGAUUAAAAACUAGAAAGAAUCUAUCUGUGAAGCUGCUUUGUGAUGUGUGGAUUCAGCUCGCAGAGUUAAACCUGUCUUUUGAUUCAGCUGGUUGGAAACACUCUUUUUGUAUAAUCUGCAAAGGGACAUUUCAGAGUCCACUGAGACUUACAGUGAAAAACAAAAUAUCCUAUGAUAAAAACUACACAGAAGAUAUCUGUGAAACUGAUUUUUGAUGCGUAGAUUCAGCUUAUAGAGAUAAUUUUUUUUGAUUCAGCAGGUUAGAAACACUCUUUUCGUAAGAUCUGCAAAGAGACAUUUCAGAGCACACAGACCUACAGUAAAAAAAUAUAUAUAUAAAAACUAGAAACAAGCUAUCUGUGAAAGUGCUAUGUGAUGUGCCAUUUCAGCUCACAGAGUUAAAUUGUUCUUUUGAUUCAGUGGGAUGGAAACACUCAUUUUGUACAAUCUGUGAAGGGAUAUUUCAAUGCAACCUGAGGCUUGUAAUGAAAAACCCAAUAUCCAGCUAUAAAACUACAAAGAAGCUCUCUGUGAAACUGCUUUGUGAUAUAUGCAUUCAUUUCAGAGAGUUAAAACAUUCUUUCAACUCAGCAAGUUGGAAACCCUCUUUUUGUAGACUCUGCAAGGGAGGGGACAUUUAGGAACCGACUGAGGCCUAUAGUAAACAAGUGAAUAUUUCCUGAUCAAAACUAGAAAGGAGCUAUGGGUGAUACUGCUAUGUGAUGUGUGCAUUGAGUUCAGAGUCAAACCUCUUUCUGGCUUUAGCAGGUUGGAAACACUCUUUUUGUAGAAUUUGUGAGGGGACAUUUGGAGCCCACUGAGGCCUAUAGUGAAAAACAGAAUGUCCCACAAUAAAAACUAGAAAGAAGCUAUCUUUGAAACUGCUUUGUGAUGUGUGCAUUCAGCUCGCAAACUUAAAUUUUUCUUUGAUUCAACAUAUAGGAAACACUCUCUUUGAAGAAUCUGCGAGGUGACUUUUCUGACCCCACUGAGGCCAAUAGUGAAAAACCAAAUAUCCUGCAAUAAGAAUUAGAAAGAAGCUAUCUGUGAAACUUCCUUGUGAUGUGUGGAUUCAGCUCACAGAAGGAAACUUUUCCUUUGAUUAUGCAGGUUGAAAACCCUCUUCUUGUAGAAUCUGUGAAGGGAUAUUUCAGAGCAAACUGAGGCUUAAAGUGAAAAACUGACUAUUUCCUGAUAAAAACUAGAAAGAAGUUAACUGUUAAACUGCUUUGUGACGUGUGCAUUCUGCUCACAGAGUUAAACAUUUCAUUUCUUUCAGCAGGUUGGAAAUACUCUUUUUGUAGAAUAUGCAAAAGUACAUUUGGGAGAUCAUUGAGGCCUAUGGUGAAAAACUGAAUAUCCUGUAAUAAAAACUAGAAAGAAGCUAUCUGUAUAACUGCCUUGUGGUUUGUUGAUUCAGCUCACAGAAUUACACCUUUCUUUUG